CCCAGUAGGGCUGGGAGUUUCUUGUUUGAUUCUGAUGGUUGUGUCCCUGCGACAUGUGGUGGUGGUCUUGAAAACUCUGUGCUGGAAACCUUAGUCGGUGGAUCUCGCAAUUACUUAAGAAAGUCCUGCAGUUUAAAACAUAGUGGGGUCAGAAGUCAGAGCAGACGGUGAGUCACAUUCAAACAGCUGUUCUCACCCACUCCCCUUGUUCGCUGGCAGAAUCUCCGUCCCGCUACAGAGAAUCUAACAUUUUUGCCUGUUGGCUCAUGAAAGGCUUGCAUAGAACUUAGAGUGGUAUUAACAUAGCCAUUCUCAAUAAGCAAUAGUGAUUUAUGUUUUAUUUUACUUCUAAGUACCAAAGGCUUGACUUUAGGAUAAGUAUGUAGGGGUAUGUAUGUAUUUGUAUAAUUUCUUUUAUGCUGAAGCAGUUUUUUUUUUGAGGACCAAAAUAAUUUCCUAAUAUAUAAAUGAUUGCCAGUUUUAAACAGCACAGUAUUUUCUCAUUUGUUUGUAAUACUGAGUUGGUCUAUUUAGUAGAUGCUAGUCUUGUAUUUCUAUUCCAGAAGACUACUUACUACGUUAUUCCCUCAAUUAACCUAAGUCAAGUUCAAGCUUUGGUGAUGGUUAGUUAUAAUCUUUUUGUGUGUGUGUGAGGAAGAUUGGCCCUGAGCUAACAUCUGUGCCAGUCUUCCUCUAUUUUGUAUGUGGGAUGCCACCACGGCAUGGUUUGCUGAGCGGUGUGUAGGGCUGUGGCUGGGAUCCAAACCCACAAACCACGGGCCACCGAAGUGGAGCACAAGAACUUAACCACUACACCACUGGGCUGGCCCCAGUUAUAAUCUGCUUUUCAUAUAAAUCUUCAAAGGCAAAGUUUAAAUAAACAAAUAAAAAACAAAUAAAGCCAUCAUUUAAAAAAUCGUUAAUGGCACAUUGUAACUUUUAUAGCUUCUUUUAUAGUUAUAGGCCCGCCUUUGAAAAAUACAGAGCAUUUUAAGUGAAUAAUCAUAUACAGAAAAAUCGUGAUACAGAUAUAUUAAUAUCCUCUCAAUAAAGUUGAAGUCUGUGCUGUAAAAAGCCUUGCUGAAAACGUGAAGAUUUACUUUCCAUCUGAACAACAAACCUAUAAAUCUUGACUCGUUGAUCUCACUGGAGAAUUCUUUCUUUCUCUGUUUAGUGAGAAAUAGGGCCCAAUUUAAUGGAACUUUCGCUGCCUCCAACUUUUCUAGAAUGAGGGAAGGUUUUGGUGGUUGAAUUUGUUAAGAAUGAGACUUCCUUUCCUCCAUUCCUAAAAGACCUGGGAGUUCCCGUCUGCUGCCGGGCACGGGGCUCCGGAAGUUGCUGAACCGAAGACCAGUUAUCCAUUGCACAUCAUGUCGGCAAACCUUACGACUUCCCUGGAGAAGCGAACACUUAUUUGCAGUUGCUUUUCAAUGUUCAUAUUCUACGUUUUGGUCAUUAUAAAUGUGAGUGGGGAUUUAGUGCCCUGGAGCCAUAAAUCUUAAAUAUUUCAAACUAUUUUUAACAGGACAGUCUAUAGUCAGCACUACUCUUGGACAGUAAAGUUUUUAAUCUAAAAACAUUUAAAAAGGUGUAUUCACUUAGUUAUCGAAUUGCCAUAGGGCGGAAACUGUUUGAUUCUGAUAAGUAUAUAUACCAUUUCUUUUUUAAUCCAGUAAGUGCUUCCAUGUCUCUUUUUAAUUAAAUAAAUUACCUUUCGGUUAAAUUAGUCACUGGACAUUUUCUGGCUGAAUAAGGCACUUCCUGACACCAUCAGGAUUUGAUGGGAAUUGAGACAUAGUAGGAGUUUUGGUCAUACUGUUUGCCUUUUUUGCUCCCUAGAGUAAUGAGGUGGAUUUGCCAUAGCAGAUGGUUUGCAUGAGUAUAUAUAAUUGUCGUAGAGUUUGAGAUUAAGAAGUUUUUGCUUUUAUUUU
ensembl:lncRNA